rnacentral:rRNA from 1 species
GACGAACGCUGGCGGCGUGCCUAAUACAUGCAAGUCGAGCGGACGAUUCGAAAGCUUGCUUUUGAAUCGUUAGCGGCGGACGGGUGAGUAACACGUGGGCAACCUGCCCUGUAGACGGGGAUAACACCGAGAAAUCGGUGCUAAUACCGGAUAACACGAAAUGUCGCAUGACGUUUCGUUGAAAGGCGGCGCAAGCUGCCGCUACAGGAUGAGCCCGCGGCGCAUUAGCUAGUUGGUGAGGUAACGGCUCACCAAGGCGACGAUGCGUAGCCGACCUGAGAGGGUGAUCGGCCACACUGGGACUGAGACACGGCCCAGACUCCUACGGGAGGCAGCAGUAGGGAAUCUUCCGCAAUGGACGAAAGUCUGACGGAGCAACGCCGCGUGAGCGAAGAAGGCCUUCGGGUCGUAAAGCUCUGUUGUUAGGGAAGAACAAGUAACGUAGUAACUGACGUUACUAUGACGGUACCUAACGAGAAAGCCACGGCUAACUACGUG